rnacentral:lncRNA from 1 species
GAAAAAAGAAAAAAGAGAAAGAAAUCACAGUUGUAACACCAGGAAUUUCUAUUCUUACAGCAGAAAUAGACAUUUGUAAUAAGCUUUGGCUCACAGUCAGGGUUGCCACUGCCACUGCAAAACAGGCAAAUUGAAUUGAAGCAGCUAAAAAAACCUCAGGUUUUGGUGAAGUUUGCAGGUUGGAUUACCGGCAGCUACUGCAGAGAGAAGUUUGGAUUGCAAAUAUGGCAUUUGUUGACCCUGGGCAUUGUUUAAUGCCCUGUAUAGACCAUCGUACAGACCAUGUCAGAAUUCCUAGUCUUUUACUUCUAAAUUUUAUUACAUCGUGUGAAAUUUAGAAAAAUAUAAGCUGUUUAUUUUCUUGAUCAAGAUAGGUGAAGAAAUACAGAAAAGAAAGAAAUAAUGAAAGCAAACCCCAACUUUCAGAUUUGGACACACCUUUGCUAAAAACUAUCAACAUUUUCCCCUUGAAAUUCUGAGUGGAAAGAUAUGUGCUUCCCUAAGUCAGGAGCUGUAUGUGCACUCCCCACCCCGAAACAUUUUUUGGGCAAAUGGAAUCAUUAAAGGAAUGAGAGGUAUCUACUCUUCAGUUCCCACUCAUUGACACAAACAGAAAACGCUACUGCAGCUUUCAGAGGUGACAGCUACUGUCUUCAAGGUGGAGAUAAGAGGUAAAUGGAGGGAGGUCAUACCUCAACUCCAGGAAUCUUGAAACUAAAAUGUUUUCUCAAAAAGCCAUGCACACAUUCAAAAAAAACCUUGGAUUUUCUAGAGCAGAUCUAUUAUCUUUUUUCUGGGUUUUUUUUUUUCAUUGUCUCCAUGAGUAAACUUAUAUUAGAAACCACACCUAAAAUUGGUUACCAGUUACACUUCUGGGGCCAGAAAGCAAAGGAAAUUAAUAAAAGGGAAACACCCUAGGGAGAAACUGAAUGAACUCUUAGAUGGCUAAAAUUUUGUGACUAAUCAGCAUCCUCUUUAAAUGUACCAUAUCCAAGUCUGACCUUUUUACUUAGUAGAAAAACAAUACAAAGAUUGCAGUUUCCAUUUUAAAUACAAUCUUUUUGUUCAAUUGUCAACCAGGAGUGGUUUUAAAUAAAACCACUUUCUGUAUUUUCCUCAGAGGUGUCUUAAUUUUCCCUAUCAAACUCACAAACCAAAGGUACUAAAGUCAGCAAGACCUAAUGUCUAAUUUACUUAUACCUAUGAUGAAAUCUAGUGCCAAGGAUCAUCCAUGGCCAUUGCCCCACUUCAAAUAUUCAUGAGCCUCCACAAUCCAAAAUGCAUUAAAUGUGGGCAGGUUGCCAAUAACACACAAUCUUCCUAAUGACAGGGAGCUUUCUCAGAUCAAAGGAGCAAGAUGUUAAAGACUUCAAACUAAACUGUCUUUGUAAGAGACACCCAGAAAAGAAAUGCCAGAUCCCACACCCUGUUUCAGUUAUGAAACAUCAAUGAAAUAGAGAAAAUAAUAAACAUUCAUUCAUUCCUCUUUGGAACUCAUUUUUUUGCAACAACUUUGCUUCUUUCCUUUCUUACCAUUGCACUCAAACACUAAGGAUGUUAUACACUAAAACUGGAAAAUAUUAUUAAUGCUUUCAAAGACAAAAUGACUACUAAGGAGUUAAUAGCAUUUAUGCCAAUAUGAUAUCGCUAAUGGAGCCUGAGUGGCAUGUAGAGAAUACUACAAAAGCAAAGUUAAAACAGGGAUAAAGAGCUAUGAAGAAUACAUAUAAAGCAAAUAUACCUAAUAAUUUAAGUUGUCCCUUUAUGUCAUUUGUCAUCUGGCUGCAUCUGCUCUUAAACCUGUGCACCUGUGCUCUGUUCCUGGAAAUAUUAGGCAUGCAGCCAAUUUCAUACCCAGCCAUUCCUAUGGUCAGACCCAGCUAUCAGUGCUUUUGUAUGUAUAUGUAUAUUAAAUCAAGUAUCAACCCCCGGGCUCUGAACUACUUCUGACUGACAGAACCAACAGAAAGUUCCAGGCUAAUUACUUCUAAGGAAUAGUUCCCAGAGAAAAGAGUUUCCACUGACCUACUUUGGACUUACUGAGAUAAUUUAUCAGAAUAAAAACAGCAUAUUACCAGACAUCCUCGGCAUCUUCGUCACAUUCUGCACCAAACUGGCAAA